GCCAGGCACAGUGGUGCAUGCCUGUAAUCCCAGAGGCUUGGGAGGCUGAGGCAGGAGGAUUGCGAGUUCAAACCCAGCCUCAGCAAAGGUGAGACACUAAGCAACUCAGUGAGACCCUGUUUCUA
rnacentral:sRNA from 1 species